UACGUAGGCAGCGAGCGUUGUUCGGAGUUACUGGGCGUAAAGCGUGCGCAGGCGGUUUUGCAAGCCGGAUGUGAAAUCCCCGGGCUUAACCUGGGAAUGGCAUUUGGGACUGCAAGGCUGGAGUGCGGCAGAGGAGACUGGAAUUCCUGGUGUAGCAGUGAAAUGCGUAGAUAUCAGGAGGAACACCGAUGGCGAAGGCAGGUCUCUGGGCUGACACUGACGCUCAUGCACGAAAGCGUGGGGAGCAAACAGG
rnacentral:rRNA from 1 species